rnacentral:rRNA from 1 species
GAUGAACGCUGGCGGCGUGCCUAAUACAUGCAAGUCGAGCGAACAGACGAGGAGCUUGCUCCUCUGACGUUAGCGGCGGACGGGUGAGUAACACGUGGAUAACCUACCUAUAAGACUGGGAUAACUUCGGGAAACCGGAGCUAAUACCGGAUAAUAUAUUGAACCGCAUGGUACAAUAGUGAAAGACGGUUUUGCUGUCACUUAUAGAUGGAUCCGCGCCGCAUUAGCUAGUUGGUAAGGUAACGGCUUACCAAGGCACGAUGCGUAGCCGACCUGAGAGGGUGAUCGGCCACACUGGAACUGAGACACGGUCCAGACUCCUACGGGAGGCAGCAGUAGGGAAUCUUCCGCAAUGGGCGAAAGCCUGACGGAGCAACGCCGCGUGAGUGAUGAAGGUCUUCGGAUCGUAAAACUCUGUUAUUAGGGAAGAACAAAUGUGUAAGUAACUAUGCACGUCUUGACGGUACCUAAUCAGAAAGCCACGGCUAACUACGUG